UACGGGGGGGGCAAGCGUUGUUCGGAAUUACUGGGCGUAAAGGGCUCGUAGGCGGCCAACUAAGUCAGACGUGAAAUCCCUCGGCUUAACCGGGGAACUGCGUCUGAUACUGGAUGGCUUGAGUUUGGGAGAGGGAUGCGGAAUUCCAGGUGUAGCGGUGAAAUGCGUAGAGAUCGGCAGGAACACCCAGGGGGAAACCAGUCGACUGGGCAUCUACUGACGCUGAGGUGCGAGAGCGUGGGGAGCGAACCGG
rnacentral:rRNA from 1 species